GACGGAGCAACGCCGCGUGAGUGAUGAAGGUUUUCGGAUCGUAAAACUCUGUUGUUAGGGAAGAACAAGUACCGUUCGAAUAGGGCGGUACCUUGACGGUACCUAACCAGAAAGCCACGGCUAACUACGUGCCAGCAGCCGCGGUAAUACGUAGGUGGCAAGCGUUGUCCGGAAUUAUUGGGCGUAAAGCGCGCGCAGGCGGUUUCUUAAGUCUGAUGUGAAAGCCCCCGGCUCAACCGGGGAGGGUCAUUGGAAACUGGGGAACUUGAGUGCAGAAGAGGAGAGUGGAAUUCCACGUGUAGCGGUGAAAUGCGUAGAGAUGUGGAGGAACACCAGUGGCGAAGGCGACUCUCUGGUCUGUAACUGACGCUGAGGCGCGAAAGCGUGGGGAGCGAACAGGAUUAGAUACCCUGGUAGUCCACGCCGUAAACGAUGAGUGCUAAGUGUUAGAGGGUUUCCGCCCUUUAGUGCUGCAGCAAACGCAUUAAGCACUCCGCCUGGGGAGUACGGUCGCAAGACUGAAACUCAAAGGAAUUGACGGGGGCCCGCACAAGCGGUGGAGCAUGUGGUUUAAUUCGAAGCAACGCGAAGAACCUUACCAGGUCUUGACAUCCUCUGACAACCCUAGAGAUAGGGCUUCCCCUUCGGGGGCAGAGUGACAGGUGGUGCAUGGUUGUCGUCAGCUCGUGUCGUGAGAUGUUGGGUUAAGUCCCGCAACGAGCGCAACCCUUGAUCUUAGUUGCCAGCAUUCAGUUGGGCACUCUAAGGUGACUGCCGGUG
rnacentral:rRNA from 1 species